UCCUGGCUCAGAACGAACGCUGGCGGCAGGCCUAACACAUGCAAGCCGAACGAGAAACCCUUCGGGUGGCAGACAGUGGCAGACGGGUGAGUAACGCGUGGGAAUUUGCCCAUUGGUGGGACAACUCAGGGAAACUUGGGCUAAUACCGUAUAAGCUCCUAGGAAUUGGCUUCCUGAGGAAAGAUUUAUCGCCGAUGGAUAAGCCCGCGUUAGAUUAGCUUGUUGGUGUGGUAGGCGCACCAAGGCAACGAUCUAUAGCUGGUCUGAGAGGAUGAUCAGCCACACUGGAACAGACACGGUCCAGACUCCUACGGGAGGCAGCAGUGAGGAAUAUUGCACAAUGGGCGCACCUGAUGCAGCCAUGCCGCGUGAGUGAAGAAGGCCCUAGGGUUGUAAAACUCUUUCAUGUGAAGAUAAUGACAUUAACCGAAGAAGAAGCUCCGGCUAACUCCGUGCCAGCAGCCGGUAAUACGGAGGGGGCUAGCGUUGUUCGGAAUUACUGGGCGUAAAGCGCAUGUAGGCGCUAAUCAGUUGGGGGUGAAAUCCCGAGGCUUAACCUCGGAACUGCCUUCAAUACUGUUUCUAGAGACCGGAAGAGGUGAGUGGAAUUCCUAGUGUAGAGGUGAAAUUCGUAGAUAUGGAAGAACACCAGUGGCGAAGGCGGCUCACUGGUCCGGUACUGACGCUGAGGUGCGAACGUGGGGAGCAAACAGGAUUAGAUACCCUGGUAGUCCACGCCGUAAACGAUGAGAGCUCUGUCGGCAGGCAUGCCUGUCGGUGGCGCAGCUAACGCAUUAAGCUCUCCGCCUGGGGUACGGUCGCAAGAUUAAAACUCAAAGGAAUUGACGGGGGCCCGCACAAGCGGUGGAGCGUGGUUUAAUUCGAGGCAACGCGAAGAACCUUACCAGCCCUUGACAUUGAUAGAAGUCGAGAGAUCGGGAUGUACCCUUCGGGGACUUGAAAACAGGUGCUGCACGGCUGUCGUCAUCGUGUCGUGAGAUGUUGGGUUAAGUCCCGCAACGAGCGCAACCCUCGCCUUUAGUUGAGCAUUAAGUUGGGCACUCUAGAGGGACUGCCAGUGAUAAGCUGGAGGAAGGUGGGGAACGUCAAGUCAUCAUGGCCCUUAUGGGCUGGGCUACACACGUGCUACAAUGGCAGUGAAUGGGCAGCUACCUCGCAAGAGGAUGCUAAUCUCCAAAAACUGUCUCAGUUCGGAUUGCUCUGCAACUCGAGAGCAUGAAGUUGGAAUCGCUAGUAAUCGUGGAUCAGCAUGCCACUGAAUACGUUCCCGGGCCUUGUACACACCGCCCGUCACACCAUGGGAGUUGGUUUUACGAAGGUAGUGAGCUAACCGCAAGGAAGCAGCUAACCACGGUAGGGUCAGCGACUGGGG
rnacentral:rRNA from 1 species